AGUGAACGCUGGCGGUAUGCCUAACACAUGCAAGUCGAACGGCAACACCGUAAUAGCUUGCUAUUCCGGGUGGCGAGUGGUGGACGGGUCAGGAAUUCACCGCACUCUACUUUUUCGUGGGGGUUAACGUAGGGAACUUUACCCUAAUACCGCAUACUACCUACGGGUGAAAGCAGGGGAUCUUUGGAGCUUGCGCGUUUGCAUGAGCCGAUGUCGGUUUGGCUAGUUGGCGGGGUAAAGGCCGACCACGGCGACGAUCCGUAGCUGGUCGGAGAGGAGGAUAAGCGACAUUGGAACUGGGACACGGUCCAGACUCCUAAGGGAGGCAGCAGUCGGGAAUAUUAGACAGUGGGGGCAAGCUUGAUACAGCCAUACCGCGUGGGUGAAGAAGGCCUUCGGUUUGGAAAGACCUUUUGUUGGGAAAGAAAAGCAGCAGGUUAAUACCCAGCUGUACUGACGGUACCCGAAGAAGAAGCACCGGCUAACUUCGUG
rnacentral:rRNA from 1 species